AGCAAGGGGGGACCAUCAGAGUGUGGGACCUUCUGUAUAUAAGAGAGAAAAGCCAAGCGGGUUAUGAUUGAAAGGAGGGAAGAAAAGUUUUUUUGUUUUUUUGUCCAGUGUAUCCCAAAAGCAAACCCCAGGAUUUUAGGUAAUUAGGAAGUUAAAGUUAAAACUGAAGAACAGGAAAAGCC